CAUUGAUUCAGUCGGACUCGCUGUGGAGCCACUCUACUGGUUAUUAAUUGUGUGCAUGUGUGUGUACGCGCCAAGUCUGGCAUGUGCUCGAAUGUGUUUUCCUGGCAUGACGAGCCAGCCUUGACGUUAAACAUCUGUCUGGUGAUUCAUUCAGUUGGAGAUGCAGAGUGACACUGAGGCACAUCUGCCGAGGUGUGGGCAGUAUCUUCAAAACCUGCCCCUCGUAAAGGCCCCCGGGUUCAUCACCCAGAAUCUCCCCCGCUUUCUUCUGAUGGUUGCAUCAUUUGCCCUCCUCUCCGAGCGGCUAGUUCACAAAAGUGACAUCCUGGGAUUUUUUUCCCAGUUGUGUAUGCUGAGGAGUAGCAGAUGUGUGGCCUUGAGGAGAUUCUGAAAUGGCAAACACAAUGAAACUCAAAAGUCUGGGGGAGAAAUGGAAAAAAGUAGUUUUCAUUUUAACAUAAGAAUGAAGAGCUACUCUUUUUACAUUUUUCUUCUUCUGUAUUUUCUAAUCCUAAACAUUAAUGAGUACAUGUUGAGCAUUUAAAAAAGGAAUAAUCCUAGUUUUAUUUAUUUUUAUGUGAAGAUCUUAAGAGAUCUUUUUUUUUAAAUGUAUGCCUUUCUAACACUCUAAUUAAGUGCUAUGUUCAGAGUUCAGGUCAGCUUAUUGUAUUUUUUUAAAACAGACCCACAUUAAAGUCAGGGACUAUAAUAAAUCCAUUCCAGCCAAUGGAAAGAUUGAGAAAUCAUUUGAGUCUAAGUGACAGAUGCUUCUCUUCACUACUGUGUGGGGCAUUGUAAUCACUUGAACGAAUACAGCUUGACUAAUUAGGGUUAUGCAGUUGGCUGGCUCGCUCCAAACAACGCUGAAGUCAUGGAGAUUGCAGCGCGGCUCUCAUAGUUAUUGCUAGAGUCGAUUUCAGUCAGAUGGGUUAAAUUUCUCGGCUAGAGUUACACUUUUUUUAAAAUUUCAUUCAUUUUAUCUCUUGAUAAAAUAAAAAUUUGUUUGGUUAAGCUGAAAAACUGCUUUGUUUACUGCUUUACAGGAUGAGGAGAACGCAUGACACAUUAUACAGAACGACUAACAAACACAAUCGCUGAAGACAAUGAUGAUGAUGGCUGAAAAGGUCAAAGAUCACCUCGGAGCUGUCACACCUGGAGAGCCUCUGUCCUUAUCGUUACCUUUGAGACACCUGGAUGAGCGGUGAAACCGUUGGCGGAUCAAACUAAAACAGGUCGGGGAAUCUUACACAAAAGCUGCUGCGACUCCAAUCAGGACCGGCGAAACUGCAUAUUGAUUCAGCCCACUAUAAACAACUGUAGAAAGCACACGAUGGGUAAAUUCUGUCACAAUGAAUAUUUGAAUGCACUGCAGAGGCUGUCAGUGACUGCUUGGUGACAAUUCCUCACGUUCAUUUAACUUAAAUGACCUUUCAUGACUUGUUGAUCAGCACAGCGUAACUCAAAAAGACAUUAAAGUGAUCCUUUGAAAAGCUCCUUCAAGCUUUUUGCUUCUUGUAUUGAUCUCAGAGUUUCUGCACACAGGCUACAUUUCAGGUCAAUUAGUCAUAUUUGGGUAUGUGCAAAUUACAUUUUUUUUUUUUUUCACUCGGAGGUCCUGAGGCUCUGAAACUGCUCUUUUGGCCCUCACAGCACAGCUCAGAUUCUCGGUGGAGCUUGACAUUUUGAUCCGCAACAGAGACUAAAUGAUGACCGUUUCCUCGUAAAUACUGCUGCCUGCAGGGGAGGGUUUAAAUAGACCAAGAAUGACUUUUUCACUCAUUCAUUUACAUUCAGAGUUUAUCUUAAUAUAAAAGAAGUGUUUGGAAUUUACGCAUUUAAUGUGUGUGUGAAGCUCAAGGGUACAAACUGAAAGGUAGAAAAUAAUUUUAAAGACAAGUUUGGUUUUUAAUGUCAGAAAAUAAAGCACUUCUAAUCGGUAAAGGGUAAAAAGAUGCAAUUGAUUCAUCAGUCUUUUUUUAUUAAGAUUCCACCACAUUCUCUCUAUUACUCUGUUUUGUUUUUAAAGAGAAUAUUUUUAUUUAUGUUAGAGUAAAUAAGCUGCUUUUGCUUGAAGUGCUUGGCAUUUGUGAUUACUUUUACUAGAGCUCUUCUCUGUACAACUCAAUUGUUUUUGUUUCAAACCGAUUGAGUGAGCAUGCAUCCACAUCUGAGAAAAAUUAUUCAUUUAAGCUUAAUGAUACCCUAUUUCUUUCUUUAAAAAUGUGGGCUAAUCAUCUGUUGCUUUUGGGUUUUCUUAUGUGUUUUUUCUUUCUUACACUUUUUUCCCUUUUUCAAUUUCUUUUUGGCUUCUCCUGAAGAGGCUUGAGGAGCAUGUCAGCUUUACCUGGUGACGAGGUGCAGCCUCCACACUUCAGAUUUCUCACUAAACUCUCAAACUAAAUGAAAAUGUCAAGUACUUUCAGUGCUUUGCUUUAAAUUAAGUUAAAAAUAGCUGUUUCUGUUCGAUUUGAUGACAAUCUUAUUUUUACAAUUUAAGGACUACUUAUUAGAAUUUAGCCUUAAAUGUCAUCAUAAGACCAGCAUCAUACUAACAGCUUUACAAACAUUUGCUCAAUAUUUGUUGUUAUUUUACACUUAUAACAGGUUGGCCCUGAAGUGCAAAUUACACCAGCAAAUCACUUAAUGCAAAAACCUAUAGAAGAUUACAAUGACAACUAAAAAUGCAGUAGAAGCACUAAUAA